rnacentral:rRNA from 1 species
GACGAACGCUGGCGGCGUGCCUAAUACAUGCAAGUCGAACGCUUCUUCCAGCCGAGUGCUUGCACUCAAUUGGAUAGAGGAGUGGCGGACGGGUGAGUAACACGUGGGUAACCUGCCCAACAGAGGGGGAUAACACUUGGAAACAGGUGCUAAUACCGCAUAAGAACCAACACCGCAUGGUGAGGGUUUGAAAGACGCUUUCGGGUGUCGCUGAUGGAUGGACCCGCGGUGCAUUAGCUAGUUGGUGAGGUAAGGGCUCACCAAGGCGAUGAUGCAUAGCCGACCUGAGAGGGUGAUCGGCCACACUGGGACUGAGACACGGCCCAGACUCCUACGGGAGGCAGCAGUAGGGAAUCUUCGGCAAUGGACGGAAGUCUGACCGAGCAACGCCGCGUGAGUGAAGAAGGUUUUCGGAUCGUAAAACUCUGUUGUUAGAGAAGAACAAGUGGGAGAGUAACUGCUCUCACCUUGACGGUAUCUAACCAGAAAGCCACGGCUAACUACGUGCCAGCCGCCGCGG